rnacentral:rRNA from 1 species
GAUGAACGCUGGCGGCGUGCCUAAUACAUGCAAGUCGAGCGAACAGACGAGGAGCUUGCUCCUCUGACGUUAGCGGCGGACGGGUGAGUAACACGUGGAUAACCGACCUAUAAGACUGGGAUAACUUCGGGAAACCGGAGCUAAUACCGGAUAAUAUAUUGAACCGCAUGGUUCAUUAGUGAAAGACGGUUUUGCUGUCACUUAUAGAUGGAUCCGCGCCGCAUUAGCUAGUUGGUAAGGUAACGGCUUACCAAGGCGACGAUGCGUAGCCGACCUGAGAGGGUGAUCGGCCACACUGGAACUGAGACACGGUCCAGACUCCUACGGGAGGCAGCAGUAGGGAAUCUUCCGCAAUGGGCGAAAGCCUGAUGGAGCCACGCCGCGUGAGUGAUGAAGGUCUUCGGAUCGUAAAACUCUGUUAUUAGGGAAGAACAAAUGUGUAAGUAACUAUGCACGUCUUGACGGUACCUAAUCAGAAAGCCACGGCUAACUACGUG